rnacentral:rRNA from 1 species
GUGGGGAAUAUUGCACAAUGGGGGGAACCCUGAUGCAGCGACGCCGCGUGGAGGAAGAAGGUCUUCGGAUUGUAAACUCCUGUUGUUGGGGAAGAUAAUGACGGUACCCAACAAGGAAGUGACGGCUAACUACGUGCCAGCAGCCGCGGUAAAACGUAGGUCACAAGCGUUGUCCGGAAUUACUGGGUGUAAAGGGAGCGCAGGCGGGAAGACAAGUUGGAAGUGAAAUCUAUGGGCUCAACCCAUAAACUGCUUUCAAAACUGUUUUUCUUGAGUAGUGCAGAGGUAGGCGGAAUUCCCGGUGUAGCGGUGGAAUGCGUAGAUAUCGGGAGGAACACCAGUGGCGAAGGCGGCCUACUGGGCUUUAACUGACGCUGAAGCACGAAAGCAUGGGUAGCAAACAGGAUUAGAAACCCGUGUAGUCC